GAUGAACGCUGGCGGCGUGCCUAAUACAUGCAAGUCGAGCGAACAGAUGAGGAGCUUGCUCCUCUGACGUUAGCGGCGGACGGGUGAGUAACACGUGGAUAACCUACCUAUAAGACUGGGAUAACUUCGGGAAACCGGAGCUAAUACCGGAUAAUAUAUUGAACCGCAUGGUUCAAUAGUGAAAGACGGUUUUGCUGUCACUUAUAGAUGGAUCCGCGCCGCAUUAGCUAGUUGGUAAGGUAACGGCUUACCAAGGCAACGAUGCGUAGCCGACCUGAGAGGGUGAUCGGCCACGCUGGAACUGAGACACGGUCCAGACUCCUACGGGGGGCAGCAGUAGGGAAUCUUCCGCAAUGGGCGAAAGCCUGACGGAGCAACGCCGCGUGAGUGAUGAAGGUCUUCGGAUCGUAAAACUCUGUUAUUAGGGAAGAACAAAUGUGUAAGUAACUAUGCACGUCUUGACGGUACCUAAUCAGAAAGCCACGGCUAACUACGUG
rnacentral:rRNA from 1 species